CGAAGGCAAGCGGAUCUCUUAAAGCUGUUCUCAGUUCGGACUGCAGUCUGCAACUCGACUGCACGAAGCUGGAAUCGCUAGUAAUCGCGGAUCAGCACGCCGCGGUGAAUACGUUCCCGGGCUUUGUACACACCGCCCGUCACACCAUGGAAGUCUGCAAUGCCCGAAGCCGGUGGCCUAACCACUUAUGUGGAAGGAGCCGUCUAAGGCAGGGCAGAUGACUGGGGUGAAGUCGUAACAAGGUAAC
rnacentral:rRNA from 1 species